UACGUAGGGUGCAAGGCGUUGUCCGGAAUUAUUGGGCGUAAAGAGCUUGUAGGCGGUUUGUCGCGUCUGCUGUGAAAUUUCGGGGCUCAACCCCGAACUUGCAGUGGGGUACGGGGCAGGACUAGAGUGUGGUAGGGGAGACUGGAAUUCCUGGUGUAGCGGUGAAAUGCGCAGAUAUCAGGAGGAACACCGAUGGCGAAGGCAGGUCUCUGGGCCACUACUGACUGGAGAACGAAAGCUGGGGAGCGAACGGG
rnacentral:rRNA from 1 species